AUAAAGGGACACAGGCCUGACAGAGGGCACAGGAUUCACCCGAACUCCCCAAUCCACUAACGGGAAUCUCAGGCAUCCGCAGGAAGAUCCCCUGCUCAGAAACCAAGCCAUAUCUGGGGCCACCCUCUGCUUCCACGACACGCCAUGUACAUAGACCAUGUAGCUGGCAUGCUGAAGCACUCUGGGUGUCCACUGCAUGUCCCUCUGAGCCUCAGUUUCACCACCUGCACAGGGGUAAGUUGCCCUGACCACUGGCCCCCUGCAUCUUCCAUCCAUGGCAGCCCUAGGUAGAGCCCCGUGGGGCCGGAGCAGGAGGACAGGACCGUUGCCCUGAGGGAGCCUGGCCUAGAUGCUUAAUUCGAGCUGUCUGUCUUCUCCCAAAGUUCACCAGCUGCUAGUGCCCCAGUCACAUCCCCACCUUGGCCUGGCCCGAGGCUGGCAGGUCCCUAAAGGCGCCCCACACACACACACUGGGUGAGGGCCAGCUCUGCUCCAGCCAGCGGUCUGGAGGAGGGGACUCUUCCUGCUGGAGGAUGAAGGGCAGGCGGCCAGGACUGUGGAGCAGCUAGCGGGCACAGCAGCAGUAAACCCUAGCCUCUCAACCCCCUGGGCCCAGCUACCUGCCUGGCCACUGGCCCCUGUGUUUCACAGACCUCUGCUCCGACCCCGAGGACAGGCUCCAGGCAGUCGGUGGCUCAGCAGGUAGGUCACCAGGCACCUCCUGCUGAGAGGAAUCUGGGAAGCAGGUUCAGGUUCAGCACUGAGGCUGCCAGGCCUGGCCAGCUGGAUGUGGCCCCACCUCCCUAGUGUCCCCGUCAGCCCUGCCAGUCCAGCCACAGCCCUGGGAACACAUGCCCUCUCAGACCUCAGCCUGAGAAAACCAUCUCCUCCUGAGAGAAAGAAAACCCAGGGCAGGCUGAGAGGGCCUUGGGUGGGGAGGGGCAGUGGGCACGGUAGGGUGGUGGCCUGAGGUCCUCAGUCCACAGCCCUCAGGGGGCCAGAGCAGCACCUGGCUAUUGGAACAUCUUCCCACAGGCAUGUCAACCCUCAGUGGUGCCCUCUGGGCUGGAGACUGGAGCCCCUUCCAGCCUGGGAGUGCUGGAUAGAGCACCUGGAGCCUGAGGGGCGGCCUCGGGGUCACUGGCUGCCAAUAGUGGUGGCCCAGCUGGGCUGCUCCACUCCCCUCCAGGUUUGGAGGAGAGCUCCGUCCUGCCUGACCUCUGCCCUGCACCUCAGUCAAGAAUAGGAAGCACAAUGAUCACACCAAACUCCAGGCGCCCUGCAUUUCCUGUGCUGCCCCCACCACCUGUGCAGCAGGGGCUCUUGCUGCCCCAUCUGCAGGACCAGCUGUUGCCAGGCCAUCGACAGGGGCUGCCCACUGCCCACACCACCACUGCCCACACCAGGCUGCUGGGCACGUUCCAGCUGCAGAGCAACAUGGCGCCGCUCCUGCUC